rnacentral:misc_RNA from 1 species
AUCCGCUGAAGAAUAUGGUUUCCAGUAUGUGUGCUUGUUAGUAGGAGGAGGAUGCGUACCUAAAAUGGCGAGUGCAGGCGAUUCGCAUCGAAAAAGGGACCAGACUCCUAGAAUGUGUUUGUCUUUGGGAGUUUGCGUGCGUCCGAAGGGGUACGUCUCCGGGUGACGCUAUCACAAGGACAAGUGCUGGAGCGGUUGCUUGCCCCCGGGUGGUCGUUACCUGCGUUUGGUUGUGCGUGCUCGUGAUCAACGUGCCUGGGGAUAAACGUCAGCGGGGUAUGUGCAAGCAGCUGACGCAGGACCUGCAAUGGUAUACCUGCAGGAUACCUUGCGGGUGCGUGAGCUGUCUGCGUGCUUGCCCCGGGCAAACCAGCUAAUGGACGCGUCGUCUUGGGCACUAGUGCGUGCCGCACUGCGGAACUGGCUGAGCUCUGAACGCACUUGAGCUUACGUCACGUAUUGAUUUUAGGAAAUGUUUUCGCAAAAGCGCCUUGCACUCCGCACACCCGCAAAACGAUCACCGGCGUGCGUGAUGCGCGUUCGGCAAGCGGGUUCACUUUAGCAGCUCGCGUUCGCCGAGGUACCUGUUUGGCUGGGAAACGCAUACUCGACGGAUUCUUCCCAGACAGGUUCGCAGCUCGGCAAGAUUAACGGACAUCUUUUAAGCGCUGAACUGUGCGGAUACGAGCGCAGCAUUGCACGACGCUCGUUCCGGUACUUGCCAGUUCAGCGUUUCGCUUGGUGUCGACAGGCUUCCGAACGCACCACAAGCCUCGUUUCCAAGACGGAGGCUUGUGGAGGCAAUGAAUUCGCUGUGCGAACGUCUUGCUGCAAACCGACUGUCCAGACAUGAUCCAUGUAGUGAGGAUGCGUUCAAGGAGCAGGCCGUAUGCGCCCGAGCAUGCCGUCGCGUGCACCGACGAGCGCGUUCAUCAAAGCCUCGCGUCCACGGAGGAAGACCAUCGCUCGUAUUUACUGACGGACUGCGUAUUGGCAUCUCGAGUAGUUUUGCCGUUCACGGCCAUUGAAUGUUCACCAUGACAUCUCCGUCAGUCGACAUUCGAUGCUCGACGGAGGCGAUUGCCGGGACGGGUUCACUCGGGAUGCGAGUGGCGGCGCGUUCGUCUUGGCAAGAACGAUACCUUGAGGCAGGAAAUAUGAACUUACCCAACGCUUUACCUAAAAUUCGUCCCAGAAUGUCAUGAGCGCCUCGGCCAACCGGUAGUACGUCUCGCGAAGAUGCCGGAGUUGGCGGCCGACAUGCCGUGCUCCGCGCACGUGCUCGUCGUACACCCGGGGAUCAAUGCCGGACUUGUUCGUGGCCCGCAAAACUGCGUUAUGCUCCGCCAAGCGUGUGUGUCGCACUUGGAUCUGCUGAAACACAUUCUGCAUGGCGAGCAGACACACACGAACGACGUUGCGCUGGAUCGCAUCAAGGUCGACGUGCCAGCCGCCUUCGAGAUCCAGCCAAGAUGCACCGGUUGGCGUGUCGCUCUGUGUCAUGGAGUUUCGGUAGCUGUCCUCGAGGUCAGGUGCGUAUGCACCAUCUGGAGACAAACACAGUGUCGACGUUGGGUCUGGGGAUCCAGAAUCUAACGCGCUCGGCGUUACGUCGAUACCUGAACGUGAAGAAGCGAAUCCAGGUCCGAUCGCACGCUCCGUUUUCUGCCUGAGCUCCAAGUCCGGCUCAUGAUCUGCAGCAGACGACUGAGCUCCGUUACGCCAAGAGCCGGGAAACGGUUCUCGUGGCAGAGAGAUUGGUACCGCGGUUACAGCACUGGUUAGGUGGUCUCCGAGGGAAAUCCAGCCGUCCUGAAAAAGAUAAAAA